rnacentral:rRNA from 1 species
UACGGAGGGUGCAAGCGUUAUCCGGAAUUAUUGGGCGUAAAGCGUCCGCAGGCCGUUAAUUAAGUCAGAUGUUAAAUUUUGGGGCUCAACUCCAAACCAAUAUCUGAAACUGGUUGACUAGAGGUUCCUAGAGGCAUAUGGAAUUCUGUGUGUAGGGGUAAAAUCCGUUGAUACACAGAGGAACAUCAAAAGCGAAGGCAGUAUGCUGGAGGACACCUGACGCUCAUGGACGAAAGCGUGGGGAGCGAACGGG